rnacentral:rRNA from 1 species
AUUGAACGCUGGCGGCAGGCCUAACACAUGCAAGUCGAGCGAGCGGCGGACGGGUGAGUAAUGUAUGGGGAUCUGCCCGAUAGAGGGGGAUAACUACUGGAAACGGUGGCUAAUACCGCAUACUAUCGGAUGAACCCAUAUGGGAUUAGCUAGUAGGUGGGGUAACGGCUCACCUAGGCGACGAUCCCUAGCUGGUCUGAGAGGAUGACCAGCCACACUGGAACUGAGACACGGUCCAGACUCCUACGGGAGGCAGCAGUGGGGAAUAUUGCACAAUGGGCGCAAGCCUGAUGCAGCCAUGCCGCGUGUAUGAAGAAGGCCUUCGGGUUGUAAAGUACUUUCAGCGAGGAGGCGUUACUCGCAGAAGAAGCACCGGCUAACUCCGUGCCAGCAGCCGCGGUAAUUC